CUGGCACUACUAAUUCCUCUCGGGGCUCUUUCCCUUUCCCAGUCUGUCCUCUUCAAAGCCGCAGAUACACCCGCAUUCAGCAGGGAGAACUCCCAACCUUGGCCAGACUCGAUUACUCCUAACUUCAGCAAUUCAUUCUCUGUUCCUUCCAGCAGCCCGUAUCCUAUCCCAGAAGUGCCCCCAACCUAGCGAUCCGUGCCCGGACACACCCUGCCCCUCCUCCACCCCCGCCGGACCCUGUGGGGGCUGAGUCUUGGGGAGACUGUGCCCUGGAAGAGCUUCCUUAGCCACGGUCCCCAGUGCCCGAACUGACACCAUCUGUCAACUUCAUUUAGGCAGUGCUGCCCUCAGCCACACGCCAGGGUGCCAGACGUCCCAAGGUUCUACCUGCCAGGUGGCUCUCCAGGUGUGUCCUGUGAUUCCCCACGCUCGCCUGCAGGCUGCACUGUUGCCGUGGUUAUCUCCCAGGCUACCACAGCAGGCAAUUCAAACAGGUUGUGUCAACACUGCAGGUAGACACUGAAUCCGCACCAGCCAAGGCUGAAAACGGUUGCAGCCGUGAGAACUGUGGACUCUGAGAAGCAAGGAAAGCCAUCCUUUACCAGGAGUUUCUCACCUAGUGGAGUUUUCUGGUCAUCUCUGGACUUCAGGCUGGGAUUUGUGUUGGGCUCCAUCUUGCCCGAGUCUUGUGCCUGUAGUCACAGAUGCGCUCAGUUCCUAUGUGUAACUGCUCUCCUGUCUCUGGAAACCACUGUUUGGCUAUUGUCAUCCCAUGGCUCCUACAAUUUUUUCUACUCCCUCUUCCUUGAUCAUCUGUUGUUUAACUUGCUGAGCCUUUGGAGGAAAGGCUGUGAUAUAGAUAUUUGAAGUCUCGUAGGCUCUGCACCCUGACCAGAUGUGAAUCUCUGUACUAACUGGCACCUAUUGCUCCGGAAGACGCUUCAUCUAUGAAAGUAGAUGUAUGGGCAUAAUGAUCUCAGUAAAAAGCAGUUAGAGCCUUGGGAGCCUAGUGCUCACUUUAUGAUUAUUUUACUCCAAGGAAACCUAGCUGUGUGGAUGCAUCCGACAGUUCUCUUGCUGACCAGGGAAGGUUGGGACAGAUCAGAGGCUAGGAGCACAGAGACCCUGAAGCGGGAGCCUCCCAGUCAACAGCCCAAGAGUAGGAGUUUAAAUGGUGGCAACCAGGGGAGAGACAGUUGCAGAGUCCCCAACCCCUGGGCUCUGCACUUUGCUUCCAUCUUGCACGCCUCCGUUUUCCUUUGCACUACUUUCCCCCUAAAACCUCAUUUCCUUUUUCAACGCCCACAGUGGGGCAGUGUGCAAAGAAUAAAAAUAUGUCUCCUUUGCUACAAACGGGAA
rnacentral:lncRNA from 1 species